GCUCACAUAGUUUAAUAAAAAUACUAGAUUGUGAUUCUAGAUUCGAAAGUUAAAGUCUUUCUAUGAGCC
rnacentral:tRNA from 1 species